GAAGAAUCGAGGGAAGAAAAAUGACACCAUGUUUGUUAUUGUUUUGUCUUGUUUUGUCUUGUUUUGUCUUGUUUUGUUUUGUCUUGUCU
rnacentral:ribozyme from 17 species